GACGAACGCUGGCGGCGUGCCUAAUACAUGCAAGUAGAACGCUGAAGAGAGGAGCUUGCUCUUCUUGGAUGAGUUGCGAACGGGUGAGUAACGCGUAGGUAACCUGCCUGGUAGCGGGGGAUAACUAUUGGAAACGAUAGCUAAUACCGCAUAAAAUUGAUUAUUGCAUGAUAAUUAAUUGAAAGAUGCAACUGCAUCACUACCAGAUGGACCUGCGUUGUAUUAGCUAGUUGGUGAGGUAACGGCUCACCAAGGCGACGAUACAUAGCCGACCUGAGAGGGUGAUCGGCCACACUGGGACUGAGACACGGCCCAGACUCCUACGGGAGGCAGCAGUAGGGAAUCUUCGGCAAGGGGGGGAACCCUGACCGAGCAACGCCGCGUGAGUGAAGAAGGUUUUCGGAUCGUAAAGCUCUGUUGUAAGAGAAGAACGGGUGUGAGAGUGGAAAGUUCACACUGUGACGGUAUCUUACCAGAAAGGGACGGCUAACUACGUG
rnacentral:rRNA from 1 species